rnacentral:rRNA from 1 species
UACAGAGGUGGCAAGCGUUUGUUCGGAAUUACUGGGCGAAAGUGUGCGCAGGCGGCUUCGCAAGUCGAGUGUGAAAUCCCCCGAGCUUAACUUGGGGAAUUUGCGCUCGAAACUACGGAGCUGGAGUGUGGCAGAGGAAGGUGGAAUUCCACGUGUAGCGGUGAAAUGCGUAGAGAUGUGGAGGAACACCGAUGGCGAAGGCACCUCCUGGGCCAACACUGACGCUCA